rnacentral:rRNA from 1 species
AUUGAACGCUGGCGGCAGGCCUAACACAUGCAAGUCGAACGGCAGCGGGGGAUAGCUUGCUAUCCUGCCGGCGAGUGGCGGACGGGUGAGUAAUGCCUGGGGAGCUGCCCAAUCGAGGGGGAUACCAACUGGAAACGGUUGCUAAUACCGCAUACGCCCUGCGGGGAAAGGCGGGGACCUUCGGGCCUACCGCGAUUGGAUGCACCCAGGUGGGAUUAGCUGGUUGGUGAGGUAACGGCUCACCAAGGCGACGAUCUCUAGCUGGUCUGAGAGGAUGACCAGCCACACUGGAACUGAGACACGGUCCAGACUCCUACGGGAGGCAGCAGUGGGGAAUAUUGCACAAUGGGGGAAACCCUGAUGCAGCCAUGCCGCGUGUGUGAAGAAGGCCUCGGUUGUAAG